rnacentral:sRNA from 1 species
ACCCAAUGUGAACGUUACCAAACUGUUGCCUCGGCGGGAUCUCUGCCCCGGGUGCGUCGCAGCCCCGGACCAAGGCGCCCGCCGGAGGACCAACCAAAACUCUUAUUGUAUACCCCCUCGCGGGUUUUUUACUAUCUGAGCCAUCUCGGCGCCCCUCGUGGGCGUUUCGAAAAUGAAUCAAAACUUUCAACAACGGAUCUCUUGGUUCUGGCAUCGAUGAAGAACGCAGCGAAAUGCGAUAAGUAAUGUGAAUUGCAGAAUUCAGUGAAUCAUCGAAUCUUUGAACGCACAUUGCGCCCGCCAGUAUUCUGGCGGGCAUGCCUGUCCGAGCGUCAUUUCAACCCUCGAACCCCUCCGGGGGGUCGGCGUUGGGGAUCGGCCCUUUACGGGGCCGGCCCCGAAAUACAGUGGCGGUCUCGCCGCAGCCUCUCCUGCGCAGUAGUUUGCACACUCGCAUCGGGAGCGCGGCGCGUCCACAGCCGUUAAACACCCCAAACUUCUGAAAUGUUGACCUCGGAUCAGGUA